UGUUAAAAAUUUUACCCAUUUCUAUUGUUAAAAACUGACAUGAGUAAUGGAAUAACCAGAUAAUUACAUAUAACAUGCCACAUGUACAUUAUACCAAAGUACAAUGACAAGUUCUGAACCGUAGAAGUUAAUAAAAUUUUUAACA
rfam:Gossypium hirsutum cultivar TM-1 chromosome 1, whole genome shotgun sequence